CUAGGGGGUGCUAGAGUACAGUUCUUUAGCACAUCCAGUAUGGACUGUGUGUUUGCUUCCUCUUUCUGCUGCCCUGGAGGUCUCUUGGAUCUGUAGUCUCAAAUCAUGGCAGCAGGACUCUGCAGGUUGCUCAUAACUUCCUCUUCCUGCUUCCAGGUACCUCUGGGAUUUGUAGUCAACAGUUGCAUCCAGUGAAUCAGAAACUACAGACAUGAUCCUGAACGGUAAAACUUCUCUUGAAGCAAAAUGGAAGUAUAGCUGACCCAUACAUCAAGACUGCAUAGGAGGACGCCAACUGGAAAGACUGCUACCACAACUGCUACCUUUGGGAAUUCAGGGUCUUAUUUGAGGGCUCAAGCAAAAGUACUGGGAGUAAUUCCAUUCACUUCAGCGGGUCAGCUCCUAGCACAGAAAGUCGAGAAGUCCUUGGAGUGCACAAAGCCGAUUAGG